UGAUGAUGGAAAUAGCCAUGGCUCACACAUUCAGCCAAAACAGGAACCUUGAAAUAUUAACGGCAGACCCUCAGAAUUACAGACUUUAAUUUUUUAAUUAGUCACUUCUCAUGUGAGAAAUAACUAGGAUCUAGCAUGCUCCAGGGUGAACAGCAACAGGAAUUUACAUAAAGGUGACUAAUAAUUUUCCAAGGAAAACUGGAUAACAGUUUGUGGAUAAAAAGUGCAAUGAGAAGGCAUACAGGCCAAGGGACAAUGUUCAUCUGUCCAAUGGGACAUCAACAUGCUUCCCUGGAUGGACCCUCUAAGUUUGUGUCUGCCAGGCGACAAGCAGACGAGCUUCUUAUCGUCACAGCCAGGCACCUGGGAUAACCUGCCCUAAAUCUGUAACUCCUGGGAACACAUACAGACUCACUUAGGGUCCAGAAGACAGACAUAGGAGAAGACUGGAAUCCUCAUGUUGUGUGGGAGUUGCUGCCAAGAGAUCUGGGUCUGCUUAGCCUGGAAGAAUAUUCCUAGGACAAUGAGAAGGAGGGGAUACAAGUCCUGACUGAGAUACCAAGUUGUCUGGAUUCCUUCUGGUCCCUGAUGUGGAGCAUCUGGUUGAUUUUGCUCUUUGGACUGGAAACUGUUGAGGCAGCGUGGCUGGAACUAGGAAUACAGAGACUCAAAUACAGUCAUUGACCUCAAGGAACUCACAUUCUCGUGGAGCGGAAGACAAGCACACAGAUAUAUAUGAAUCUGUG